AUACGUAGGGUGCAAGCGUUAAUCGGAAUUACUGGGCGUAAAGCGUGCGCAGGCGGUUUUGUAAGACAGAGGUGAAAUCCCCGGGCUCAAACUGGGAACUGCCUUUGUGACUGCAAGGCUAGAGUACGGCAGAGGGGGAUGGAAUUCCGGGUGUUGCGGUGAAAUGCGUAGAUAUGCGGAGGAACACCGAUGGCGAAGGCAAUCCCCUGGGCCUGUACUGACGCUCAUGCACGAAAGCGUGGGGAGCAAACAGGAUUAGAUACCCUGGUAGUCCACGCCCUAAACGAUGUCAACUGGUUGUUGGGUCUUCAUUGACUCAGUAACGAAGCUAACGCGUGAAGUUGACCGCCUGGGGAGUACGGCCGCAAGGUUGAAACUCAAAUGAAUUGACGGGG
rnacentral:rRNA from 1 species